GAUCAUGGCUCAGGAUGAACGCUAGCGACAGGCCUAACACAUGCAAGUCGAGGGGCAGCUGAGAGGUAGCAAUACCUUUGCCGGCGACCGGCGCACGGGUGAGUAACACGUAUGCAAUCCACCUGUAACAGGGGGAUAACCCGGAGAAAUCCGGACUAAUACCCCAUAAUAUGGGCGCUCCGCAUGGAGAGCCCAUUAAAGAGAGCAAUUUUGGUUGCAGACGAGCAUGCG
rnacentral:rRNA from 1 species